rnacentral:pre_miRNA from 1 species
CUUCUCACACACCUCACUAACACUAACUACAGAUUUCUAGAUGUUAGUAGGCGUUGUGGGAAGGG